rnacentral:lncRNA from 1 species
GACUUGGGUUUCUUAGUCUGACUGGGCUUGGGUGCCCCAGUACUUUGCACUUUUUUCUUGUUCUUCUUAUUCUUCUUUUCUUUCUUAAAUGAUCGACGUCCAAAUAAAGACCCUUCCACAACAUUCACUGACUCCUUUUGGAGCUAGUGAUCCUUCUCAAAGUUUUGCAGCAACCCCAGCAAACUAUGAUAGUUAACUGCAGGCUUUGUCAUUCGAAAAUGAGUAAGAAAAGGGAGGUAGGACAUAGGUAGAG